rnacentral:lncRNA from 1 species
GAUACCACAUGAUUAUGUGUAUUCCUAUCGAAUUAGAAUAAGAAACAUGAAUUAUAAAGAAUUUUAAUUCAAUAAUGAUAUGAAUUUAUAACCUCACUAUGUAAAGAAUCUCAUUAAUGAAGAAAAAUACGUUGGCAAUUGAUUUAUUCUGAGAAUUUAUGUCACCAAUGAGAUCAGCAACAAACCGUCAACGAGACCAACCA